rfam:Mesocricetus auratus contig176493, whole genome shotgun sequence.
GUUGGCUAUGGAGACAUGGCACCCGUGACCGUGGGUGGCAAGAUCGUGGGCUCUCUGUGUGCCAUCGCGGGUGUCCUCACCAUUUCUCUCCCUGUGCCCGUCAUUGUCUCCAAC